rnacentral:rRNA from 1 species
GACGAACGCUGGCGGCGUGCCUAAUACAUGCAAGUAGAACGCUGAAGAGAGGAGCUUGCUCUUCUUGGAUGAGUUGCGAACGGGUGAGUAACGCGUAGGUAACCUGCCUUGUAGCGGGGGAUAACUAUUGGAAACGAUAGCUAAUACCGCAUAACAAUGGAUGACACAUGUCAUUUAUUUGAAAGGGGCAAUUGCUCCACUACAAGAUGGACCUGCGUUGUAUUAGCUAGUAGGUGAGGUAACGGCUCACCUAGGCGACGAUACAUAGCCGACCUGAGAGGGUGAUCGGCCACACUGGGACUGAGACACGGCCCAGACUCCUACGGGAGGCAGCAGUAGGGAAUCUUCGGCAAUGGGGGCAACCCUGACCGAGCAACGCCGCGUGAGUGAAGAAGGUUUUCGGAUCGUAAAGCUCUGUUGUAAGUCAAGAACGAGUGUGAGAGUGGAAAGUUCACACUGUGACGGUAGCUUACCAGAAAGGGACGGCUAACUACGUGCCAGCAGCCGCGGUAAUACGUAGGUCCCGAGCGUUGUCCGGAUUUAUUGGGCGUAAAGCGAGCGCAGGCGGUUUGAUAAGUCUGAAGUUAAAGGCUGUGGCUCAACCAUAGUUUGCUUUGGAAACUGUCAAACUUGAGUGCAGAAGGGGAGAGUGGAAUUCCAUGUGUAGCGGUGAAAUGCGUAGAUAUAUGGAGGAACACCGGUGGCGAAAGCGGCUCUCUGGUCUGUAACUGACGCUGAGGCUCGAAAGCGUGGGGAGCGAACAGGAUUAGAUACCCUGGUAGUCCACGCCGUAAACGAUGAGUGCUAGGUGUUGGAUCCUUUCCGGGAUUCAGUGCCGCAGCUAACGCAUUAAGCACUCCGCCUGGGGAGUACGACCGCAAGGUUGAAACUCAAAGGAAUUGACGGGGGCCCGCACAAGCGGUGGAGCAUGUGGUUUAAUUCGAAGCAACGCGAAGAACCUUACCAGGUCUUGACAUCCCGAUGUUAUUUCUAGAGAUAGAAAGUUACUUCGGUACAUCGGUGACAGGUGGUGCAUGGUUGUCGUCAGCUCGUGUCGUGAGAUGUUGGGUUAAGUCCCGCAACGAGCGCAACCCCUAUUGUUAGUUGCCAUCAUUCAGUUGGGCACUCUAGCGAGACUGCCGGUAAUAAACCGGAGGAAGGUGGGGAUGACGCCAAAUCAUCAUGCCCCUUAUGACCUGGGCUACACACGUGCUACAAUGGUUGGUACAACGAGUUGCAAGUCGGUGACGGCAAGCUAAUCUCUUAAAGCCAAUCUCAGUUCGGAUUGUAGGCUGCAACUCGCCUACAUGAAGUCGGAAUCGCUAGUAAUCGCGGAUCAGCACGCCGCGGUGAAUACGUUCCCGGGCCU